rnacentral:tRNA from 1 species
AUGAUGCGUAGGGAAUGGUCGGGAUAGCUCAGUGGUAGAGCAGAGG